UGGCCAUGUGGUCAACGUGGGCGGGCUGCCAGCGGGUGUAGCACCUACUGGCUUAGAGUGCCUCAUGGGAGAGCAAGGGAUGCCCACUUCCAUUCAGCACUGCCACCCAGGGAACCGCUGGUGAGGACUGCCAUUCCGAGGACCUUCCUGAUGACCUUGGGCCCUCUCUUGCUGAACAAGCCUUAAGGGUAAAAGUUGUUAAACUGGAGAAGGAAGUCCAGGAUUUAAUGGUGAGAUACCGGAGAGCUAUAGCUGAUUGUGAAAACAUAAGGAGGUGAACCCGGAGAUGUGUGGAAGACGCCAAGAUAUUUGGAAUCCAGAGUUUCUGUAAGGACUUGGUGGAGGUGGCUGACAUUUUGGAGAAGACUACAGAGUGCAUUUCUGAAGAAUCAGAGCCUGGGGACCAGAAGCUCACUCUGGAGAAGGUCUUCCAACGGUUGUCACUUUUAGAAGCAAAGCUGAAAAGUGUGUUUGCCAAGCAUGGCCUUGAGAAGCUGACACCCAUUGGUGACAAAUAUGAUUCCCAUGAGCAUGAAUCCUCUGUCAUGUGCCAGCUGGUGUUGUGGUGCAGUCUGGCACCACGGCAUUAAUGAGACAAGAUGGUUAAAAACUUCAUGGCUGCACCAUUAGACUUGCCCAGGUAGAAGUGGCAGUGGAGUCUCAGAGAAGA
rnacentral:lncRNA from 1 species